UACGCUCUGAUGCUUAUUGCACCACAUGUGUUUUUCUUUGAAACAAACUUGCUUUGGCGGUGGGCCCAGCCUGCCGCCAGAGGUCUAAACUUACAACCAAUUUUUUAUCAACUUGUCACACCAGAUUAUUACUAAUAGUCAAAACUUUCAACAACGGAUCUCUUGGUUCUCGCAUCGAUGAAGAACGCAGCGAAAUGCGAUACGUAAUAUGAAUUGCAGAUAUUCGUGAAUCAUCGAAUCUUUGAACGCACAUUGCGCCCUCUGGUAUUCCGGAGGGCAUGCCUGUUUGAGCGUCGUUUCUCCCUCAAACCGCUGGGUUUGGUGUUGAGCAAUACGACUUGGGUUUGCUUGAAAGACGGUAGUGGUAAGGCGGGAUCGCUUUGACAAUGGCUUAGGUCUAACCAAAAACAUUGCUUGCGGCGGUAACGUCUACCACGUAUAUCUUCAAACUUUGACCUCAAAUCAGGUAGGACUACCCGCUGAACUUAAGCAUAUCAAAAGCCGGAGGAA
rnacentral:rRNA from 1 species